AAAGAUUGCAUAGCAAAAUUAUUAUGGGGAUGUAGUAUAUGCAUCUGCAUCGCAAUCCCACAUUAAUAAACUCAGCACAUUGUAUAACUCGUUCUGCCGAUUUGUGCUACAAUGUAAUUACAGGACUCACCAUUGUGACAUGCUAAAAUAACUAAACUGUCUGUCGCUGGAAUCCAGACGCACCCUUCAUCUUCCCAGCCUUGUGUUUAAGAGCUUUUCUGGGAAACUCCCACCCUACCUGAACAAAAUGCUUUCCCC